UAGGGAAUAUUGGGCAAUGGAUGCAAGUCUGACCCAGCCAUGCCGCGUGCCGGAAGAAGGCCCUCAGGGUUGUAAACGGCUUUUAUUCGGGAAGAAGAGCAGGGAUGCGUCCUUGUGUGACGGUACCGAAUGAAUAAGCACCGGCUAACUCCGUGCCAGCAGCCGCGGUAAUACGGAGGGUGCGAGCGUUGUCCGGAUUUAUUUGUUUUCAAGUGUUCGUAGGUGGCUUUAUAAGUCAGUGGUGAAAUACAGCCGCUCAACGGUUGAGGUGCCAUUGAUACUGUGGAGCUUGAAACAAUUGGAGGCUGCCGGAAUGGAUGGUGUAGCGGUGAAAUGCAUAGAUAUGAUACAGAACACCGAUUGCGAAGGCAGGUGGCUACGUUUGAUCUGACACUGAGGCACGAAAGCAUGGGGAGCAGACA
rnacentral:rRNA from 1 species